AUUGAACGCUGGCGGCAUGCCUUACACAUGCAAGUCGAACGGUAGGGGGAGCAAUCCCCUGAGAGUGGCGAACGGGUGAGUAAAGCAUCGGAACGUGCCCAGUUGUGGGGGAUAACUACUCGAAAGAGUGGCUAAUACCGCAUACGACCUGAGGGUGAAAGCGGGGGACCGAAAGGCCUCGCGCAGUUGGAUCGGCCGAUGUCAGAUUAGCUAGUUGGGGGGGUAAGGGCCCACCAAGGCGACGAUCUGUAGCUGGUCUGAGAGGACGACCAGCCACACUGGGACUGAGACACGGCCCAGACUCCUACGGGAGGCAGCAGUGGGGAAUUUUGGACAAUGGGCGCAAGCCUGAUCCAGCCAUGCCGCGUGCAGGAAGAAGGCCUUCGGGUUGUAAACUGCUUUUGUCAGGGAAGAAAUCCCUUGGGUUAAUACCUCGGGGGGAUGACGGUACCUGAAGAAUAAGCACCGGCUAACUACGUGCCAGCCGCCGCCGUAAUAC
rnacentral:rRNA from 1 species